GAAGUAUGUGAAAUCCACACAAGGCAGUAACAUUGUAAUAUCACUGUUUAAAACUUUGGCUCCAGGGACCUGGCCAUGAGGCUACCAUCUUGCUCCAUCUCCCUGGGCCAUUGGUCUGGGAGCGGAAGAAUGCAAGGCAUUGGGGAGGAAAGUGUCCAUGUUGCCCAGGAGCCUGGCGGGAUCACUCAGAAACACACUCAACCUUGGGAGAAACACACAGGUUCUGUUUUCAGGUUACGUGCAAUCACGGGACAGCUGCUAAUCACCACCAAGACGGGGCCGUCCCAGAAGCAUUCUUAGAAAGACACGCUGGUUCUGCGAGCUCUGAAGCACCCUUAGCCUGUCCUGCCUGGAGGAUCAUUGUGGCUGCAGGACGAGAAAGACAAGAGGAAAGACGGCCGACCCAUUCAUUCCUGCCGUUGUCAAGUUGUCCUUUCUUGGAGGGAGGAGGAAGACGGGAGGGUGCUAAGAGGCUGCGAGACAACAAGGGGACCCCUCAAAGAGCAUCAGGGAGACCACGAAGAAUGAUCUCAAGCAGUAUUAGCUGCUCCAUGGCAUGAUAAUGUCCCUGUUGGGUGUUCCCUGCACUCUGUACCCCUCAUACCCUAACUUCAUCAGAACAGGAGGAAGGGGGCAUUUGCUGUCUCUCUCUUCCUUUUUUUUUUUACUGCUGGGGCUGCAAUCUGCCAGUGUGAACCCUGGUGGCUCUGCAGGCAGCAGGGUGAGGAGAGUGACCCUCAUAUGAAGCCACGACCCCAAUGCAAGAGGCUAUCCUGAAUCUGGGAGUCACGGUUGUUCAGAAUCAGUCCCUGAGAUGUGGCACCGUGGCGUUUGACAUUAUCACCACCAUCGAUGUCAUUCUAUGGUAACGUAUGUGUGCCAUUGUGUGCCUGGGACACAAACAGGCACUUUCGAUACCCCUCCUGCUUGGACCCUUCCCCUGCCAUCCCCUCCUCCCACUGGCCGCCCUGUUGCUCUCAGCUUCCCUGUAAAGAGGCCUUUUUCACAAUGAGUCGGAUCACAGCAUGCUUUGCUCAAAACCCUGCCUGGCUCCCAGGUCCCUCAGAGGGAAGGCCCAAGGCCUCUGGGCCUGACCUGGUCUGACGGUCACCGCCCCUCUCGGCGCUCAGCACUUACUGAGCUUGAUUCUCAAGCACACCAUAUACUCCUGCCUGCUUUGGGCCCCAAUGUACCUGCUCCCUCUGUCCCAAAGGCUCUUCCCCAAAACAUCCUCCUACAAGUCUGUGCUCAAAUGUCACCUUCUCCAUUCAGCCCUACAACCUGCCCUCCACCUCUCUCCCUGCACUGCACACUGGAGCUGCCUUUCCUGCCUCUGUGUUUUUUUUUUCGAUAACACUAUCACCUCCUUACAUACUAGAUAAUUUACAUACUAACUAUUUUUUACUGUUUAGCCUGCCCCACCUUGACAGCCAGUGUGGAUGCAGGACAGGAAAGACAAAAGAGGAAUGAUGGCUGACCCAAUGCUUCUCAUCUUUCCUGGCCCCAUGAUGUGGUUUGGCUCUGUCCCUACCCAAAUCUCAUCUUGAAUUGUAGCUCCUAUAAUUCCCAGUGUUGUGGGAGAGACCUGGUGGGAGUUAAUUGAAUCAUGGGGACAGUUUCCCCCAUCCUGUUCUCAUGGUAGUGAAUAAGCCUCACGAGAUCUGAAGGUUUUAUAAGGGGAAAUCCCUUUUGCUUGGUUCUCAUUCUCUAUUGCCUGCCCCCACAUAAGACAUGCCUUUCACCUUCCGCCAUGAUUGUGAGGCCUCCCCAGCCACGCGGAGGAGGUAUGUCUGUAUCAGCAGACAUAUGUCUCAGGUAUGUCUGUAUCAGCAGCAUGAAAAUGGACUAAUAUACCCCAUUAGAAGCCAAGCUCCAUGCCAGCAGGACAGAGCCUGUUUUGUUCAGUGUCUGUUCUCUGCCUAGAGCAGUGCCAGCAGUCCCGUAAAUAUCUAUUAGAUGAGUGAAUGAAUGAAUGAACCGAUCGAUGAACAAGUGAAGGGUGGAAUUACUGCCACUCAUGGGGAGGGGGCUAUGCAUCUCAUGGAAUGAGCUGGUCUUCAGGGUGGGGUUCCCUGGGGAGUGGGGGAGAGGGCUGGCAAAGGCAGAAGGUGCUGCUUCCAGAAAGGCAGUGCCCGAAGUUUGCCUGGAAAUCCCCUUGGCAUCACUCAUUAACUAACCCCCACCCCAAUACACAUCCAAACCCAAACAGUAGCUGAAGAGUAACUUCAACCAUAGACUCUCUUUCCAGGCCCACGCUCCCACCGGUGAGUGCAUGUAGUCAUCUGGGCACCUACCGUGUGCUCCUUGGAUCCCAGGAUGAGCAGUGAAGAAAGGAUGGCGGGGGAUGAAAGAGAUCCCCUCCCACCCUCAUCCCACUCUCAAGGCUCUAGCUGGAAGGCAGAGGCAACACUGCAGAUGAAGUUCUGAAAGUGAGAUGGUGGGCAGGUAAAGGAGCUGCCAGCCCCAUGGUGCCAUGGCUGUGGGGUUUUAAGCAGCACCCACCGAGUCAGCCAGAAACCUCUGAUUCCACCUAGAAAAAUAAGGGAAGAGUUACACCAGGAAGCAAGAUAAUGAAACUCAUCUUGAAGCUUAAACGUGGACGGAGUGGUUCCUCAGUGCCAGACAGCUCCCCGCAAGCACAUAGGAGUUUAAUAGCUGUUUAUUCUUCCAUAUAGACUAAAACUACAUUCAUCAGAAAAAGGGGAGUAAUUCAUUUCCUAUCCCAAUUAUGGAUAUAGCAGACUGAAGAAUAUUUUCAAAGAAAUACAGUUUAUUAUGAUCACAAACUUGACCUAGAGUAAACUAAGAUGUAAAUGGAUAUUUACACUGGAUAGUAAUUGUUUUCAAGUUAUAAAAAUACUUAAGUUUACAAUGGACAUUUACUACAAAACAACCUAAUGCCACAGUGCCAAGUUGUUCUGUUUUUAUUGGGUCUUUUACUCCUAUGAUCCUAUUUCUAAAUGUUUAUAUGUUCUAAUUUGUGAUAUGUCUGAAUUCACUGAAUGGGAUGACAUAUGAGGAACAUCUAGUGCCAUGUCUGGUCCCUAUUAAGC
rnacentral:lncRNA from 1 species